UACAGAGGUUGCAAGCGUUAAUCGGAUUUACUGGGCGUAAAGCGUGUGUAGGUGGUUUGACAAGUCGGUUGUGAAAUCCCCGGGCUCAACCUGGGAAUUGCUUCCGGGACUGUCAGGCUAGAGAUCGGUAGAGGGCGGUGGAAUUUCCGGUGUAGCGGUGAAAUGCGUAGAUAUCGGAAGGAACACCAAUGGCGAAGGCAGCCGCCUGGGCCUGAUCUGACACUGAGACACGAAAGCGUGGGGAUCAAAC
rnacentral:rRNA from 1 species